rnacentral:misc_RNA from 1 species
AACGCAUUCCAUUCAAGUGAUUGGUGGGUUAAUAAUAUCUUAACUUUUGAGCAUGGUCCAUUCAUAUUUUUGUGUCAUACUCAUGAAGACCUCUUCUUUUGUACUCCUUUUUGGUUUCCUACUUGGGCAUUCUAAGUUGAAAAAUACUGUAUUCUUUCUUGUUUUAGGUUGUUUGAGAGCCUGUAAAGUGGUGGUGUUUUUUUUUUUGUCU